GACGAACGCUGGCGGCGUGCUUAACACAUGCAAGUCGAACGGAAAGGCCCCUUCGGGGGUGCUCGAGUGGCGAACGGGUGAGUAACACGUGGGUGAUCUGCCCUGCACUUUGGGAUAAGCCUGGGAAACUGGGUCUAAUACCGAAUACACCCUGCUGGUCGCAUGGCCUGGUGGGGGAAAGCUUUUGCGGUGUGGGAUGGGCCCGCGGCCUAUCAGCUUGUUGGUGGGGUGAUGGCCUACCAAGGCGACGACGGGUAGCCGGCCUGAGAGGGUGUCCGGCCACACUGGGACUGAGAUACGGCCCAGACUCCUACGGGAGGCAGCAGUGGGGAAUAUUGCACAAUGGGCGCAAGCCUGAUGCAGCGACGCCGCGUGAGGGAUGACGGCCUUCGGGUUGUAAACCUCUUUCAGCAGGGACGAAGCGCAAGUGACGGUACCUGCAGAAGAAGCACCGGCCAACUA
rnacentral:rRNA from 1 species